rnacentral:rRNA from 1 species
GACAGAGGUGCCAAGCGUUAGGCGGAAUCAUUGGGCGUAAAGCGCGUGUAGGCGGUCCGGUAAGUCCGCUGUGAAAGUCGGGGGCUCAACCCUCGGAUGCCGGUGGAUACUGUCGGGCUUGAGUACGGAAGAGGCGAGUGGAAUUCCUGGUGUAGCGGUGAAAUGCGCAGAUAUCAGGAGGAACACCAAUUGCGAAGGCAGCUCGCUGGGACGUUACUGACGCUGAGACGCGAAAGCGUGGGGAGCAAACAGG